rnacentral:lncRNA from 1 species
UCAGUAACAAUAAUCUUCACUAGCAUCUUCCCUAGAUGUCACAAAGGCCUCAUGCCAUCUACUAAACUGAUCAACUAUGACCAGUAAGUAUUGCUGUUUCUUACCAAUUUUGGAUACAUGAAUAAAAUCAAUCUGUAAGUGUGUAAAAAGAGCAGUGUUCACACGAUCUUACAAAAGACUGUACAUGCUGCCUGAGAUUCCUAAUAUAAAAUGAAUUCAUGAAGAAUUGAAUGGUGCUUGCUAUGUGCCUGACUGAUGAAAAUAAAUCAGCUUGCUUCAAGUAUGCCUAUUCUUCAAGUAUGCCUAUUCUCCCCUCUUUAGAGAACAGAUCAUUUUGAUCUUUCUCUAAACCUUAUUUAAUCCAAAAGACAGAUUCUGGGUAUUAAAAAAAAAAAAGAAUCUCAUAACCACUGAAGCGCUGGGCUGUCAUGUGUUGUGUGGUGAGAUUUGUCAGCUGAGUGACCUGGUGACUGGCAUAAAGUAUUGUAGGAUGCCCUAGUGUGAUAGUAGUAGCAGUUUCAACAGCCAUUGCACAUGCUAUCAAUGCUCUGAGACACGCCGGCAUACCCUGUACCGGAGCUCGAACUACUUUGGAAAAGAAUGCUAUGGGACGCAUACCGCCUCCUUGCUCUUGUGCACAGACCGCGGCCAUGGUUUUACAGUUGUCCCGAGCAUACAAAUGAAAUGGUUUACAAUACACAGGUAGUCCUAAAGCCUGAGCUUGCACAAUAACAACUGUAAGGGCAAUAUAUGCAGAUAGCAUGUCUGGUGACCAGCAGACAUUUUCAGGGCUGUCAGAACGUACAGCCUCCCUUAGGAUUGAGUUAUAAUGGGAGCAUUCAGGGAUCCAUUGGCGGCAGUAAUUAAUCAUGCCGAGGAAGGUGAGCAACUCCUUCCGAGUAGUGGGUGUAGGAAUCCUCUGAAUGACCUCAAUACGUUUUGGACUCAAUUGUCUGGUGCCUGAAGCCAGAACAAAACCUAAGUAUUCAACCUUUGAUUUACACAAUUGCAUUUUGUGUUUAACAACCUUGUGACCUACAGUUGCUGACAGUAUCCACAGUGCUUGCCUCAUAGCUAGGGCUACAUAACAACAAAUCAUCAAC